rnacentral:rRNA from 1 species
UUAGAGUUUGAUCCUGGCUCAGGAUGAACGCUGGCGGCGUGCCUAACACAUGCAAGUCGAACGGGUGUACGGGGAGGAAGGCUUCGGCCGGAAAACCUGUGCAUGAGUGGCGGACGGGUGAGUAACGCGUGGGCAACCUGGCCUGUACAGGGGGAUAACACUUAGAAAUAGGUGCUAAUACCGCAUAACGGGGGAAGCCGCAUGGCUUUUCCCUGAAAACUCCGGUGGUUGAUGAUGGGCAUGCGUUGUAUUAGCUGGUUGGUGAGGUAACGGCUCACCAAGGCGACGAUACAUAGGGGGACUGAGAGGUUAACCCCCCACAUUGGUACUGAGACACGGACCAAACUCCUACGGGAGGCAGCAGUGAGGAAUAUUGGUCAAUGGACGCAAGUCUGAACCAGCCAUGCCGCGUGCAGGAUGACGGCUCUAUGAGUUGUAAACUGCUUUUGUACGAGGGUAAACCCCGAUACGUGUAUUGGGUUGAAAGUAUCGUACGAAUAAGGAUCGGCUAACUCCGUGCCAGCAGCCGCGGUAAUACGGAGGAUCCGAGCGUUAUCCGGAUUUAUUGGGUUUAAAGGGUGCGUAGGCGGUUUGAUAAGUUAGAGGUGAAAUGUCGGGGCUCAACCCCGAAACUGCCUCUAAUACUGUUGGACUAGAGAAUAGUUGCGGUAGGCGGAAUGUAUGGUGUAGCGGUGAAAUGCUUAGAGAUCAUACAGAACACCGAUUGCGAAGGCAGCUUACCAAACUAUAUCUGACGUUGAGGCACGAAAGCGUGGGUAGCAAACAGGAUUAGAUACCCUGGUAGUCCACGCAGUAAACGAUGAUAACUCGUUGUCGGCGAUACACAGUCGGUGACUAAGCGAAAGCGAUAAGUUAUCCACCUGGGGAGUACGUUCGCAAGAAUGAAACUCAAAGGAAUUGACGGGGGCCCGCACAAGCGGAGGAACAUGUGGUUUAAUUCGAUGAUACGCGAGGAACCUUACCCGGGCUUGAAAGUUAGCGACGACGCUUGAAAGAGCGUUUCCCUUCGGGGCGCGAAACUAGGUGCUGCAUGGUUGUCGUCAGCUCGUGCCGUGAGGUGUCGGGUUAAGUCCCAUAACGAGCGCAACCCCUACUGUUAGUUGCCAUCAGGUGAUGCUGGGCACUCUAGCGGGACUGCCGGUGUAAGCCGAGAGGAAGGUGGGGAUGACGUCAAAUCAGCACGGCCCUUACGUCCGGGGCCACACACGUGUUACAAUGGUAGGUACAGAGGGCAGCUACCCUGCGAAGGGGUGCGAAUCUCGAAAGCCUAUCUCAGUUCGGAUUGGAGGCUGAAACCCGCCUCCAUGAAGUUGGAUUCGCUAGUAAUCGCGCAUCAGCCAUGGCGCGGUGAAUACGUUCCCGGGCCUUGCACACACCGCCCGUCA